UACGUAGGGUGCGAGCGUUGUCCGGAUUUAUUGGGCGUAAAGGGCUCGUAGGCGGCCUGUCGCGUCGGGCGUGAAAGCCCACUGCUUAACGGUGGGUCUGCUUCCGGUACGGGCGGGCUAGAGUAUGGCAGGGGAGACUGGAAUUCCUGGUGUAGCGGUGGAAUGCGCAGAUAUCAGGAGGAACACCGGUGGCGAAGGCGGGUCUCUGGGCCAUUACUGACGCUGAGGAGCGAAAGCGUGGGGAGCGAACAGG
rnacentral:rRNA from 1 species